rnacentral:rRNA from 1 species
UACAUGGGGUGCAAACGUUGCUCGGAAUUAUUGGGCGUAAAGCGCACGUAGGCGGUCAUUUAAGUCGGAUGUGAAAGCCCUCGGCUUAACCGGGGAAGUGCAUCCGAAACUGAAUGGCUUGAGUACAGAAGAGGGUCGCGGAAUUCCCGGUGUAGAGGUGAAAUUCGUAGAUAUCGGGAGGAACACCGGUGGCGAAGGCGGCGACCUGGGCUGAUACUGACGCUGAGGUGCGAAAGCGUGGGGAGCAAACAGG